rnacentral:lncRNA from 1 species
UGGCCUUUCAUCAUAUUUAUUUCUUCUCUCUUUGUUGAAUGGAGGUCCCCCAAUGCAACGCAGCAGGGGCCAAAAAGAAGCCUGGAAUCAGCAACAANUGCUGGAGGUUUCUUGGCCCCCGGAGAAGCGGCUUGUCCUUCCACAGAAGGGGAGGCCAUUUUGCGAAGAAGCAGCGCCAGUUGCGGCAACGUCCCAUAUUGAAGUGAAGCCGUACAGUUCAACGCAGCAGGAGGGAAGAGAUUUCUCGGCCCCUGGAGAGCAGCUUUUCCUUCCACCGGAAGGGGAGGCCAUUUCGUCAAGAAGCAGGGCCAGAAGUGGUAUGAAGCUACCUCUCCCAUCUGUGGUAAGGGGGAGCAUAUGGUAAGGAUCCUGAAUUUCUACCGUCUGAAGACCGUACAGUCAGGACACAAGAUCCACGUAAGCAACAAAUUUAAUAAGCUUUUCAUUUUAACCGAAGGGCAGGGUUUUCAAAGUGCACUUAAGUUUCCUCAGCUGAAACGAUCCCUGCCUUGCCUGGGAAGUGGCACCUAUCAUGUCCUGCCCCCCAAGCCCUUAGAGACCUUCGAGGGGAAAAAGGGACUUGGAAGGCUUCUAAUGCACAUUUCCGUCCCUUCUGGAGUUGCCUCCUGACUCAACACUCCAGGGUGUUUGGGGCAGCCCUCUAGGAGGGGACCGAAAGCUUGAUAAAAGUGAGUNCUUUACCCACCCAAACCUGGGGGUAUNAGGAGCCCUUUAUCCACCCAGACCUGGGGGUAUCAGGAGCCCACCACCUGAGACUGAACACAAAGAUGUGUAGAGAGGAAAUGGGUGGGGAGUCCUACUGGAGGGCAGAAAAGGGAACCGGCCAGCCCCACGCAGCCUCCUCUGGGGCACAGCAAUGCAGGUCACAUGCGCAGAGACAAAGCGAUUGCAAGGCCACAAUUCCCCCUGGCCAUGCGCUCUUGGUGGGUGGAGAAGCAAUGUUCCUGAGAAAGCAUCACCACAAUGAACUGGAGGGAAGACAGUCCUGGCCUGCUGGUGGGGGUUGGGAACUGGGCUGUGGUUCUCCAUUCAGCUUUGACAUCUACUAACCUGGCUUUUCAUCUCAAGAAAUAAGAAGUAGUAUGGACCGCAGUGGAGCUCGGAGAGGUUAGGGCCAUACCCUUGCAUAUUUUGACUUUCAAGGGUCCAUCAUCUCAUUUUUCUCUUUCCUUCAUUAUAUUGAGUAGAAGCUCACCAGAAGACACNGGAAAGAAACACGAAAUCAGCCACAAGCACUGGAGACUUCACGGUCCCUGGAGAAGCGCCUUUUCAUUCCAGAGGAAGGAGAGGCCAUUUUGUCCAGGAAGCUGUGUCAACUGCUGUAGAGUCCAGCAUGAGAAGAC